rnacentral:rRNA from 1 species
AGAAUCAACGCUGGCGGCGCGCCUAACACAUGCAAGUCGAACGAGAAAGCCGCAAGGCAAGUAAAGUGGCGUACGGGUGAGUAACACGUGGAUAAUCUACCUUUUAGUGGGGAAUACCGUUGGGAAACCGACGACAAUACCGCAUAAGCUCGAGAGAGGAAAGCAGCAAUGCGCUGAAAGAGGAGUCCGCGGUCGAUUAGUUAGUUGGCAGGGUAAAAGCCUACCAAGACUGUGAUCGAUA